rnacentral:rRNA from 2 species
ACACCCGUUCCCAUCCCGAACACGGAAGUUAAGCUCUCCAGCGCCGAUGGUAGUUGGCGGGACACCGCCUGCGAGAGUAGGACGUUGCCGGGC